UACGUAGGGGGCAAGCGUUGUCCGGAAUCAUUGGGCGUAAAGAGCGUGUAGGCGGCCCGGUAAGUCCGCUGUGAAAGUCCAGGGCUCAACCCUGGGAUGCCGGUGGAUACUGUCGGGCUAGAGUGCGGAAGAGGCGAGUGGAAUUCCCGGUGUAGCGGUGAAAUGCGCAGAUAUCGGGAGGAACACCAAUUGCGAAGGCAGCUCGCUGGGACGUUACUGACGCUGAGACGCGAAAGCGUGGGGAGCAAACAGG
rnacentral:rRNA from 1 species